rnacentral:tRNA from 1 species
AACUUCAAUAGGAUAUAAGUAAUCCUAUUUAUCUUUCGAUGAUGAAAGACCCCAACUUCUAUAAGUUGGGGUAGUUCUUCGUUAACUUCAGGUUG